AUCCUUUGUGCUCCUUUGUGACAGAGGAGAACCUUCCAGGCGGUUCUUGCGUGAGCUGCUGCUGUGAUGUCACGGGAACGCUGCCGCGUCCUCGCCGUGUUCCCGUUGCUGCGGGGCACGGAGCCCUCAGUGUCCAGAGCGGCUCUGGGCGCCCGCUGGUUGCCGGAGGAUCCUCCUGCCCGAGGCAUUCUCAGCAGCCAGCCCAGCCCCUGACGGGUGUCCUUCUGUGCUUGCAGGGGUACAGUCUGCGACGUGUGCAGCACGGCCAAAAUGAUCCAGCAAGCGGUUGCUGCAGUUUGCACUCUGUACUCUGUGGCUUAUUCGGGCUAUUUUUUAGCCCACUUGGCACGGCACCUCACGCGUGGAUCCCGAGCAGCUCCUCCUUCAGUCCUCAGUGGAUACCCAGCCGUUGGGUGAAACCGGUACCAGGCAAAGCUGGAGCUUCAACGAAUCAGACCAUCCGACCAGGUUCUACUACGCCUGCAUCUAGCCAUUGACCCCCUCCUCGCACCUUUGAGAGGGAUCCCGCCGAGUAGACUCGCUCAGUUCCAGUCUAUUGAGGAUGCUACUCACCUUCUAGACGGA